UGAAGUUAAAGGCUGUGGNUUAACCAUAGUACGCUUUGGAAACUGUUUAACUUGAGUGCAGAAGGGGAGAGUGGAAUUCCAUGUGUAGCGGUGAAAUGCGUAGAUAUAUGGAGGAACACCGGUGGCGAAAGCGGCUCUCUGGUCUGUAACUGACGCUGAGGCUCGAAAGCGUGGGGAGCGAACAGGAUUAGAUACCCUGGUAGUCCACGCCGUAAACGAUGAGUGCUAGGUGUUAGGCCCUUUCCGGGGCUUAGUGCCGCAGCUAACGCAUUAAGCACUCCGCCUGGGGAGUACGACCGCAAGGUUGAAACUCAAAGGAAUUGACGGGGGCCCGCACAAGCGGUGGAGCAUGUGGUUUAAUUCGAAGCAACGCGAAGAACCUUACCAGGUCUUGACAUCCCGAUGCCCGCUCUAGAGAUAGAGUUUUACUUCGGUACAUCGGUGACAGGUGGUGCAUGGUUGUCGUCAGCUCGUGUCGUGAGAUGUUGGGUUAAGUCCCGCAACGAGCGCAACCCUUAUUGUUAGUUGCCAUCAUUCAGUUGGGCACUCUAGCGAGACUGCCGGUAAUAAACCGGAGGAAGGUGGGGAUGACGUCAAAUCAUCAUGCCCCUUAUGACCUGGGCUACACACGUGCUACAAUGGCUGGUACAACGAGUCGCAAGUCGGUGACGGCAAGCUAAUCUCUUAAAGCCAGUCUCAGUUCGGAUUGUAGGCUGCAACUCGCCUACAUGAAGUCGGAAUCGCUAGUAAUCGCGGAUCAGCACGCCGCGGUGAAUACGUUCCCGGGCCUUGUACACACCGCCCGUCACACCACGAGAGUUUGUAACACCCGAAGUCGGUGAGGUANCCUUUUAGGAGCCA
rnacentral:rRNA from 1 species